CAGUAGCCGCGGUAAUACAGAGGGUGCGAGCGUUAAUCGGAUUUACUGGGCGUAAAGCGUGCGUAGGCGGCUUCUUAAGUCGGAUGUGAAAUCCCUGAGCUUAACUUAGGAAUUGCAUUCGAUACUGGGAAGCUAGAGUAUGGGAGAGGAUGGUAGAAUUCCAGGUGUAGCGGUGAAAUGCGUAGAGAUCUGGAGGAAUACCGAUGGCGAAGGCAGCCAUCUGGCCUAAUACUGACGCUGAGGUACGAAAGCAUGGGGAGCAAACAGGAUUAGAUACCCCCGUAGUCCCUGUCUCUUAUAU
rnacentral:rRNA from 1 species